rnacentral:rRNA from 1 species
UACGUAGGGUGCAAGCGUUUAUCCGGAAUUAUUGGGCGUAAAGAGCUCGUAGGCGGUUUGUCGCGUCUGCUGUGAAAACUGGAGGCUCAACCUCCAGCCUGCAGUGGGUACGGGCAGACUAGAGUGCGGUAGGGGGAGAUUGGAAUUCCUGGUGUAGCGGUGGAAUGCGCAGAUAUCAGGAGGAACACCGAUGGCGAAGGCAGAUCUCUGGGCCGUAACUGACGCUGAGGAGCGAAAGCAUGGGGAGCGAACAGG